AUUGAACGCUGGCGGUAGGCCUAACACAUGCAAGUCGAACGAGUGGCGGACGGGUGAGGAAUACCUCGGAAUCUGCUCUGUCGUGGGGGAUAACGUAGGGAAACUUACGCUAAUACCGCAUACGAUCGGAUGUGCCGAUGUCGGAUUAGCUAGUUGGUGGGGUAAAGGCCCACCAAGGCGACGAUCCCUAGCUGGUCUGAGAGGAUGACCAGCCACACUGGAACUGAGACACGGUCCAGACGCCUACGGGAGGCAGCAGUGGGGAAUAUUGGACAAUGGGCGCAAGCCUGAUGCAGCCAUGCCGCGUGGGUGAAGAAGGCCUUCGGGUUGUAAAGCCCUUUUGUUGGGAAAGCGGUACCCGAAGAAGAAGCACCGGCUAACUUCGUGCCAGCAGCCGCGGUAAUAC
rnacentral:rRNA from 1 species